UACAGAGGUCUCAAGCGUUGUUCGGAUUCAUUGGGCGUAAAGGGUGCGUAGGCGGCGCGGUAAGUCGGGUGUGAAAUCUCGGGGCUUAACUCCGAAACUGCAUUCGAUACUGCCGUGCUUGAGGACUGGAGAGGAGACUGGAAUUUACGGUGUAGCGGUGAAAUGCGUAGAUAUCGUAAGGAAGAUCAGUGGCGAAGGCGGGUCUCUGAACAGUUCCUGACGCUGAGGCACGAAGGUCAGGGGAGCAAACGGG
rnacentral:rRNA from 1 species